AUGGCGCAGAGCAAUUGGGAAGCGGAUAAGAUGCUCGAUGUGUAUAUCUACGACUACUUGCUCAAGCGGAACCUGCAGACGACCGCCAAGGCGUUCAUGGCGGAGGGCAAGGUCGCUGCUGACCCAGUUGCAAUUGAUGCUCCUGGGGGCUUUCUCUUUGAGUGGUGGUCUGUCUUUUGGGAUAUAUUUAUUGCAAGGACAAAUGAGAAACAUUCGGAGGUUGCAGCAGCUUACCUAGAGGCACAACAAAUAAAAGCGAGAGAGCACCAGCAGCAGAUGCAGAUGCAACAAUUACAACUCAUCCAACAAAGGCAUGCUCAAAUGCAGCGAACUAAUUCAGGCCACCCUUCGCUUAACGGUCCAAUAAAUGGCCUAAACUCCGAUGCCAUUCUGGGGCCAUCGACAGCUAGUGUUUUAGCUGCUAAGAUGUACGAAGAGCGCUUGAAGCACCCUCAUCCAAUGGACUCCGAAGGAUCGCAGCUUAUCGAUGCUAGUAGGAUGGCUCUUCUUAAGUCGGCUGCAACAAACCAUACAGGGCAAUUAGUUCCUGGAAAUCCUGGAAAUGUAUCUACUACGCUGCAACAGAUUCAGGCUCGGAAUCAACAAACAAUUGACAUUAAGAGUGAAGGCAACAUGGGUGUAGCCCAAAGAUCUAUGCCCAUGGAUCCAUCUUCCUUAUACGGACAGGGAAUAAUUCAGCAAAAACCUGGAUUAGGUGGUGCAGGACUGAACCAAGGAGUGAGUGGUCUACCCUUGAAGGGCUGGCCAUUAACUGGAAUAGACCAACUUCGGCCAAAUAUAGGUGCCCAAAUGCAGAAGCCAUUUCUUUCAACACAGUCACAGUUCCAACUUAUGUCACCACAACAGCAACAGCAACUCUUAGCACAGGCUCAAGUACAAGGGAACCUUAACAACUCAACUAAUUAUGGGGAUAUGGACCCCCGCAGAUUUACGACAUUGACCAGGGGUGGCAUGAAUGGUAAAGACGGACAACCUGCUGGGACUGAUGGCUGCAUUAGUUCCCCAAUGCAAUCAAGUUCACCAAAAAUUAGAGCAGACCAAGAAUAUCUCAUGAAGAUGCAGCAAACAUCUUCUCAGCAAUCACAGGAACAUCUUCAGCAGCAGCAACAGCAGCAGCAGAACCAGCAACAGCAGCAGCUAAAUCAGCAGCAAAUGCAACAGAACAACAGAAAAAGAAAGCAAGCUACAUCGUCAGGCCCAGCAAAUAGUACUGGAACAGGAAAUACGGUGGGCCCUUCAGCCAACUCUCCACCGUCAACUCCAUCCACACAUACACCUGAAGGGCUUGCAGUAGCUGGCAAUAUGCGCCAUGUUCCAAAAAAUUUAAUGAUGUAUGGUGCGGAUGGAACUGGGCUCGCAUCCUCUUCAAAUCAAAUGGAUGAUCUUGAACCUUUUGGUGAUGUUGGCUCAUUGGAUGACAAUGUUGAAUCUUUCUUGUCCAAUGACGAGGGAGAUGCAAGGGAUAUUUUUGCUGCACUUAAAAGCCCAACAGAACCUAAUCCACCUGCUUCAAAAGGUUUUACAUUCAGUGAGGUUAACUGUUGGCGAACAAGCAACAGCAAGAUAGUCUGCUGCAAUUUUUCUUCUGACGGCAAGAUCUUGGCAAGUGCUGGACAUGAAAAAAAGGCUGUACUUUGGAAUAUGGAGACUUUCCAGACACAGUAUUUACCAGAAGAGCAUAGUCUCAUUAUCACUGAUGUCCGUUUCAGACCUAACUCUACACAGCUGGCAACUUCAUCUUUUGACAGAACAGUUAAACUAUGGAACAUUGCAGAUCCUGCAUUCUCGCAGCAUACAUUCACCGGGCAUAAUUAUAGUGUUACGUCACUAGAUUUUCAUCCAAAGAAGACGGAACUUUUGUGCUCUUGUGAUGGCAAUGGUGAAAUCCGAUACUGGAACGUGACUCAGCAUUCCUGUAUUCGUGUCAUAAAGGGUGGUACUGCUCAAAUUCGUUUCCAACCUAGCACCGGACAGUUUCUCGCAGCUGCUAGUGAAAGUGUUGUCUCCAUAUUUGAUGUUGAAACACAUACCAAAAAGUACACCCUGCAGGGCCAUAACACAGACGUGCAGUCAGUGUGCUGGGACAACACUGGGGAGUACCUUGCGUCUGUCAGCCAGGAUCUAGUUAAGGUGUGGUCAGUAUCAUCAGGAGAGUGCAUUCAUGAGGUCAGCUCAAAUGGAAAUAAGUUCCAUUCUUGUGUGUUCCACCCAAGUUAUACCAAUCUCUUGGUGAUUGGAGGCUACCAGUCCUUGGAGCUAUGGAACAUGGUAAAGAACCAAAGCAUGACGGUGCCGGCUCACGAUGGUCUGAUUGCGUCGUUGGCACAAUCACCGGUAACCGGUAUGGUGGCUUCUGCGAGCCAUGACAACUCCGUCAAGUUGUGGAAGUAA
rnacentral:rRNA from 1 species